UACGGAGGGUGCGAGCGUUGUCCGGAAUCACUGGGCGUAAAGGGCGCGUAGGUGGCGCGGGCAGUCAACGGUGAAAGUUCGGGGCUCAACCCUGAAUCGGCCGUCGAUACUCCCGGCUUGAGCACUGUAGAGGCAGAUGGAAUUCCGGGUGGUAGCGGUGGAAUGCGUAGAGAUCCGGAAGAACACCGGUGGCGAAGGCGGUCUGCUGGGCAGUAGCUGACACUGAGGCGCGACAGCGUGGGGAGCAAACAGG
rnacentral:rRNA from 1 species